rnacentral:rRNA from 1 species
AGUGAACGCUGGCGGUAGGCCUAACACAUGCAAGUCGAACGGCAGCACAGGAGAGCUUGCUCUCUGGGUGGCGAGUGGCGGACGGGUGAGGAAUACAUCGGAAUCUACUCUGUCGCGGGGGAUAACGUAGGGAAACUUACGCUGAUACCGCAUACGACCUACGGGUGAAAGCAGGGGACCUUCGGGCCUUGCGCGAUUGAAUGAGCCGAUGUCGGAUUAGCUAGUUGGCGGGGUAAAGGCCCACCAAGGCGACGAUCCGUAGCUGGUCUGAGAGGAGGAGCAGCCAAACUGGAACUGAGACACGGUGCAGACUCCUACGGGAGGCAGCAGUGGGGAAUAUUGGACAAUGGGCGCAAGCCUGAUCCAGCCAUACCGCGUGGGUGAAGAAGGCCUUCGGGUUGUAAAGCCCUUUUGUUGGGAAAGAAAUCCAGCUGGCUAAUACCCGGUUGGGAUGACGGUACCCAAAGAAUAAGCACCGGCUAACUUCGUGCCAGCCGCCGCCGUAA